rnacentral:lncRNA from 1 species
GCACAUUCCCAGACGCAAAAUCAAAUAGACCUUCAACUUGCACAUUGAUAUGUUUCAUGCGUAAACUUGGGUUUCAAAUCUGGGGGUUCAAAUUUCCGGCAAGAAUAAUGUUAAAUUUUGAUUUGGUAAUAUAAAUAAACCAGUUCGCAUUUGAAACAAAUCCAAUUUUCUAACAACCCAAUCCAUUUCGAGUUGAUCUUCACAAGUUCGUUUGCCUAGCAGCCCUUUUGUGUUAUACAGACCAGUGUGGAGAUGCACCGCCAAUGUAGUAUGGUGACUACUUUCAUCUACCCUACAUUUGUGGAUUUUAGACCCAAUCAAAGCUGGAGUUUAACAACAGACAAGGGUCUAUUAUUCUUGGAUGGAGUUUAACCGCCAAUAGCAGGUGGCUGGUGGAGGUAGAGGUGGCGGAGGUCUGGU